ACCCAGAUUGGUGUUACUGCACAGGGUGAUUGGCCUGUUUUCUCAUGGCUUCCUGGCUGGUUAUGCUGUGUGGAAUAUCAUUGUGGUCUAGGUUUUGGCAGGGGAAGAGAUACUGCAGCAGUAUCACCCUCAGCACGGUUUCUGCCUUCGACAGGUUGAAUCUUGCCAAAGCUGCUACAGCCAUGAGUUUAGUGUUGCACAGUCCUGUGGCGCUUGUACACCUUUUCUUUUUCAGUGUAUUUUUCUGCCCUUGUUUUAUCAUUAAGCCAGCAGAUGUGAUCGCAUCAAUCUCUAUAAUCAGUACUCCAGCUAUAAUGAGCCCUCUCAUUAGUGCAUGCUGGGUAAAUACUGUACAGUAAUAUUAUAAUACCUCCUCUCAGGCAGCCAGGCUCAGAGCGCAGCAUCAUUCAUCUCUGGAUCAUAUUAAACCUGGUGGUAACUUUGCUGGUUGGGCUAGCCUGGGUUUUGAUGUCAACAAGUCCAGAUAUCGACCACACAGAAGGUAAACACGAAGGCAAUUUUUUUUCUCAACAAUAUUUUGAUACAUGGUUGUAGAUUUGUCAAUGUAUGUAUUCUAUACAUCUCUCUCAGCAAUACAAUUUUUAAAUAAACCAGUGAGGCCA